UACAGAGGUCUCAAGCGUUGUUCGGAUUCAUUUGGGGCGUAAAGGGGUGCGUAGGCGGCGCGGUAAGUCGGGGUGUGAAAUCUCGGAGCUUAACUCCGAAAACUGCAUUUCGAUACUGCCCGUGCUUUGAGGGACUGGAGAGGAGACUGGGAAUUUUACGGUGUAGCGGUGAAAAUGCGUAGAUAUCGUAAGGAAGACCAGUGGCGAAAGGGCCGGGGUCUCUGGGACAGUUUCCCUGACGCUGAGGCACGAAGGGCCCAGGGGGAGCAAAACGGGG
rnacentral:rRNA from 1 species